UAAAGUCUGGCCUGCCCACUGGGAUCAAACUAAAGGGCCGCGGUAUUUUAACCGUGCGAAGGUAGCAUAGUCAUUAGUCUCUUAAUUGGAGGCUUGUAUGAAUGGUUGGACAAGAAGCAAACUGUCUCAAACACAAAAAUUGAAUUUGACUUUUAAGUGAAAAGGCUUAAAUAUUUUAAAG
rnacentral:rRNA from 1 species